UUUUGUGUGAUUUUGUUGUCAGCACAUUCAACUAUGUAAAGAAAAAAGUAUUUAAUAAGAUUAUUUCAUUCAUUCAGAUCUAGGAUGUGUUGUUUAAGUGUUCCCUUUAUUUUUUUGAGCAGUAUAUUAACCUAAAUUACUGAGUGAAAAGGAAGGUUGUACAGAACAAAAAUAUUCCAAAACAUGUAUCUUGUUUGCAAUAAGGCACUAAUACAAAGUGUUAUGUUUGUGGCAAAUCAACAGAUCACUGAUAUUUUCAAACAUGGUGGUGGCUGUAUCAUGUUAUUGGUAUGCUUGUCAUUGGCAAGGAGUCGAAUAGAGCUAAGAGCAGGCGAAAACUUGGUUCAGUCUGCUUUCCAACACGCACUGGGAGACACGUUCAUCUUUCAGCAGGACAAAAAUCUAUAACAUAAGGCCAAAUAUACACUGGCUGCUUACCAAGACAACAUUGAAUGUGGCCUAGUUUUGACCUAAAUUGGUAUGAAAAUAUAUGGCAAGACUUAAAUGGCUUGAUCAAUGACCAACCAACUUGACAGAGCUUAAAGAAUUUUUUUUAUAAUAAUGUGCAAAUAUUGUACAACACAGCUGUAAUCACUUCCAAAGGUGAUUCUAACAUGCAUUGACUCAGGGGUGUGAAUACUUAUGUAAAUUAUGUUACAGGUUUUGUUUUUUCUGUUUAUAUUUCGAGGUAAUACGUUACCACGAAGGGCGCACCGAUUGGUGUAAGUACACUACAUAACCAAAGGUUCAUGGGCAUGGGGGAGCACAGGAGCAAGACUGGAGAAGUUGGAAGGCUUUAACUCCAUGUUAUGUAGUGCAGCUCUAGCAGGGCAGAAAUUUGACGAACUAACUUGUUGGAAAGGUUGCAUCCUAUGACUACCAUGUUGAAAGUCACUGAGCUAUUCAGUACGGGCCAUUCUACUGCCAAUGUUUGUCUAUGGAGAUUGCAUGGCUGUGUGCUCGAUUUUAUACACCUGUCAGUAUAACGGGUGUGGCUGAAAUAGUCAUUCUCUAAUUUGAAACAGUGUCCACAUAGACCACUCUUACAGAACGAGUGCAAGGAAACAGACAACUAAGAGAAAGGACAUUGUGACAUCUUGUGGACAAUCAGAGACUUAUACCUGAGGACGAAAAACCAGGCCAUCCGAAGUGGGCCCAACAGAGAUAGCCAACGGAGACCUUCAACAUGUAAAUACAUGCAUUGCACUUCUUACCCAUAAGAGCGGCAGUUCGGGGCAAGGUAUUAGGGCUAAACUAAGCGUAGUUUACAAAUGUAUCCAAGUCUCUCUCUCUCAAAACACGUGUCAUAUUGAGUUGGUCCGCUAGGGACCUGUUGUCAUUGUAUUAAGUUCUAAGCAAUAACCUAGACUGUGUGUAUCUUAUGUUAUCAUUUAGCUUGUUAGUAAAUAAAUCAUUAACUCAAUUUGUGUGGUACGGAAUGAUUAGUGAGACCCGGGUUUGUGCAGAUUUACGGAGUCUACAACUUUCAGAAUGAGACUGAUAUGAGGAAAUGAUUGAUUAUUGUCUGUUAUGAUAUCGAGAUAUUCGGAUAUAUUCUUGAGUUAAUUUGGGAAACAGUAACUCAUUAAACAAACUUUUCCCAUGGUGCCCCAAGUUACUAAUGAGUUAAUUGUUACAUUAUUAAUUUAAUCAUGUAAUAAUUAAACAUAGUUAAUUAUUCUAAAAAUAGCAUGUCAUCACAUGAAUGAUAGUCACGUCACGACAAGCCUGAAAAUCAAAAUGGAUUAAAUAGUUGUUUUUUCACCAUCUGCCACACCCCUAUGGAGGACCAAGACAGCCAAAAUCAAAAAUAAAUGAAUAAAUAAAUAAGUAUAUAUAUAUAUGCACGUAAAUGUCAAAAUAAAUGAAUAUACACAGAAAUAAAUAAAUAAACACAAUUUGAUAUAAAUGAGUAAUUUUGCAUUUACUUAUUUUUCCAAAAUAUCUAUUUUCCUAAUUAUUAAUUUCUGUAUUUAUUUAUUUCCCUAUUUAUUUUCUUGACCAUUUAUUCCUGUAUUUAUUUAUUUCCCUAUUUAUUUAUUUUUGCCAACUUUUAUUUCUUCAUUUAUUUAUUUAUGUAUUUAUUUAUGUAUUUUUGUCACUGUGAACAUGUCUACACGACGAGUGUCGGUGUCUGAGCUUCUUUGAGAGGCGGCUGAUCGGCUUGAAGAAAUAGAGCACUCAAGUUCAUCUGGCACUUCAUCUGGCACUGCAUCUAGCACUUCAUCUAGCACUCCAUCUGGCACUUCAUCUGGCACUCCAUCUGGCACUUCAUCUGGCACUGCAUCUGGCACUUCAUCUGGCACUGCAUCUAGCACUUCAUCUAGCACUCCAUCUGGCACUUCAUCUAGCACUCCAUCUGGCGCUUCAGGGGGUCGAGUAGGCCUACACCCUGUUGAUGGUAAUUGAGAAAGCUCACAAGAAUUUGUGGAGUUCAUCUUAACUUCGUUUCCAAAGUUGAGAGACGCGAGCGGGUUCGAGCUGCUGAAAAUUGAACAGGUCCUAACCACCCUUUUCACCCUUCAGUGCCUUCUGCACCAUGGCAAGUAUCAAGGUUCACAAUACUGUGGUUUUCAUGCAUUAAGCAUAUCCUACCUCCUUCCAUCUCUACUUCUUGCCAUUAUGUCCUCAUGCAUUUACCUUCUCUGAUAUUGACUUAUUUUUUAUUCAAUUGUUCAUCAGAAUUGUGUUCUUUGUUCCCAGGACGUCUGAGAAAACCUCCUACAUGGUGCGCACGACCCAGAAUACCCUGGAAGCCUACCGCUACAUUGACUGUGGUUCCAACUCCACGGUUCACCAGUCCCCACGCAGACCGUGGCAGUAAAACUCCCUCCCCCACCCACUACAGUCACCACCAGCCACAGUGAUGAGUGAUAGGGUCACAGGGACCAUUGGUGCUCGCCAAGGUGCUGGUAGCCAGACCACAAGAACCAAUUCAGUCCGAGCAUUUGUUUCGACUGCAGGAUUAUUAGGCUUGAUCACUUGCCUACGUCAAUGCAUAAAACAUUAGCUCUUCAGUAAAUUAUAUUUAACUGUUGUGCAUUUGACUGAUGUUCAGGGUAUGACUAAUUUACAGCCUCCUGUAGCUUCAACAUCCUUGAUUUUAGGAGUUAAUUAGUUAACCUUGACUUGAUCAUAGUAACUGGUGUUACUACUGAAUUAUGACUGUAUCCUGCUGUGCUAGUCGUUUUAUUUGUAACAUUGAGAGCAUCCUAUAACAUUUUAGGAAGGUCCUUUAGCGUGGGUUCAUGUGAUUUAAGGUGCUUGGCAUAGUAACAAUGUAUAAAGCGACUGACAUUGUGUUGCGCAAGAAGGGAGAUUUGUUCUUUGCUAUUUAUAUAGGGGACUUGACAAGACUAGUUAAGGGAUGUGCUUAAGGCAAUUUAUUGACUCCAAUGCUUCCCACAGUUGUGUCAAGUUGGCUGGUUGUCCUUUGGGUGGUGGACCAUUGUUGAUGGACAUGGGAAACUGUUGAGUGUGAAAAACCCAGCAGCGUUGCGGUUUCUGACACAAACCGUUACUCCUAGCACCUACUACCAUAGCCUGCUCAAAGGCAUUUAGAAAUGUUGUCUUGCCCAUUCACCCCCAAGCCAUAAGACUCCUGAACAUCUAGUCAAAUGGCUACCCAGACUAUUUGCAUUGACGUCUGGACGUCUGUCUGGAGGCCCAGCUUGGACAUAACUCCGUAGUGGCUUGUAAAAGGGAUCUUUGUAAUGUCAACUGCUGUGGUAUUAACCAGGUCAGGAUAACUUUAAUUACAUGAACUCACUCACUGUCCUAUUAUGUUGAGCAUCCUGCUAAUGUUGUUUACAUUCCAAAGCACACCCUCUUGUUGUCAUAGACCUACAUAGAAUAAGCUAAUGUAAUGGCUUGAAAUGUAGUUUCAGAGUUGUAUUUCGAGAACGUUAAAAAGUUGUACGUUUGUGUGGUAUUUCCAAGUUUGCGGAUUGGCUGUUUAAUUUGAAGAGUGUUAUUGCACUAAAUGGCAAUAGAGAUGGCCUGAGUGCCUGUCUGUUUGACAAUGACUGACAGGGAGUUGGCAUGAAAAUGACAGCAAUGAGUUGACAAGAGCACAAAGAUCAUGGGACGAGGCUACAAUGGAGAAAGGUGAAAUUAAAAUGGAUGAUGUGCGAUGUAAAAAAAUAACUUGAUGUAUCUUGCUUUUUAGAUAUUUUUGAAUACAUUUAUAUUUUUCAAAUGCAGAAUUCUAAAAUGGCAAAAAAUAAUUCAACUAAUAAAGAUGGUUAUUUUUUGGGA